rnacentral:rRNA from 1 species
AUUCCAGCUCCAAUAGCGUAUAUUUAAGUUGUUGCAGUUAAAAAGCUCGUAGUUGGAUCUUGGGUCGUAAGGGUCGGUCCGCCUACUCGGUGUGCACCUGCCCUUCCGUCCCUUUUGUCGGCGGCGUGCUCCUGGCCUUAAUUGGCUGGGUCGCGGUUCCGGCGCUGUUACUUUGAAAAAAUUAGAGUGCUCAAAGCAAGCUUAUGCUCUGAAUACAUUAGCAUGGAAUAACGUGAUAGGAGUCUGGUCCUAUUGUGUUGGCCUUCGGGACCGGAGUAAUGAUUAAUAGGGACUGUCGGGGGCAUUCGUAUUUCAUUGUCAGAGGUGAAAUUCUUGGAUUUAUGAAAGACGGACCACUGCGAAAGCAUUUGCCAAGGAUGUUUCAUCA